rnacentral:rRNA from 1 species
UGGGGAAUAUUGGACAAUGGGCGAAAGCCUGAUCCAGCCAUGCCGCGUGUGUGAAGAAGGUCUUCGGAUUGUAAAGCACUUUAAGUUGGGAGGAAGGGCAGUAAGCGAAUACCUUGCUGUUUUGACGUUACCGACAGAAUAAGCACCGGCUAACUCUGUGCCAGCAGCCGCGGUAAUACAGAGGGUUCAAGCGUUAAUCGGAAUUACUGGGCGUAAAGCGCGCGUAGGUGGUUCGUUAAGUUGAAUGUGAAAGCCCCGGGCUCAACCUGGGAACUGCAUCCAACACUGGCGAGCUAGAGUAGGGCAGAGGGUGGUUGAAUUUCCUGUGUAGCGGUGAACUGCGUAGAUAUAGGAAGGACCACCAGUGGCGAAGGCGACCACCUGGGCUCAUACUGACACUGAGGUGCGAAAGCGUGGGGAGCAAACAGG